rnacentral:rRNA from 1 species
GACGAACGCUGGCGGCAUGCCUAAUACAUGCAAGUCGAGCGAACAGAUGAAGUGCUUGCACUUCUGACGUUAGCGGCGCACGGGUGAGUAACACGUAAGGAAUCUACCUAUAAGCGGGGGAUAACAUUCGGACACGGGUGCUAAUACCGCACAAUAUCUUCUUCCGCAUGGAAGAAGAUUGCAUGACGGCUCUGCUGUCACUUAUAGAUGACCUUGCGGUGCAUUAGUUAGUUGGUGGGGUAAUGGCCUACCAAGACGAUGAUGCAUAGCCGACCUGAGAGGGUGAUCGGCCACAUUGGGACUGAGACACGGCCCAAACUCCUACGGGAGGCAGCAGUAGGGAAUCUUCCGCAAUGGGCGAAAGCCUGACGGAGCAAUGCCGCGUGAGUGAAGAAGGCCUUCGGAUCGUAAAACUCUGUUAUAAGAGAAGAACAAAUUGUAGAGUAACUGCUACAGUCUUGACGGUAUCUUAUCAGAAAGCCACGGCUAACUACGUGCCAGCAGCCGCGGUAA